CACCUCAAGUUUCACAUGUCACAUACGAUGAUACCUGAGCUUAUAUUUUCACUUCCGAACUACAAUAUUGUGAAAAUUCAGUACAAGACACCGCCAAGGGUGGUAAUGCUACCAGGUGCACUAUAGGACCAAGGGUAGAUACCAUAUGUAGAUGGCAAGUUAAAAGCCAACAGUGCUUGAGCUUGAGCCAGAUUCCGGUCAAUGUAGAGAUUGCCAAACUGCUGGAGGUGUAGCUGGUGCGCUAUGGCCUGGACAACGUUAAUGUCCUGGUAGUGAGAUUGUUGCGCCACCAGCCUGAGCUGUUGCAAGACUUGGUUGUUUCUCAGUUGAAACGCAGCUGAUUGCAAGAAGGUGCUUGCCGCAAUGCUAUACUGCUGCCUUACGAACUCAUUAUAUGGGCUAAGCACCUGUUGCUGUAGCAGGAGAGGCGACUGCACCUGAUAUUGCCUAAUAUUUUGACCUAAAACAUCAAACUGCGCAGUGGCGCUGCAUGCAGCAAUAGCAAGGAGAGCAAAGACGAAAAUGAUCUUCAUUGUUGCAGGACACUAGUUCUUUUAAAUUUUUGUUGUAUAAUGCUUGAAUUGUGCGAGCGAUGAGGAGGGUUUUCAUGGAGUUUGUCCAUUUAGAGAUGCGGUGGCACGGAUUUUCUCUCGAUUCCUCAUCGGUUGCUUUAGUGUGUUAGUUUUGCUUGGAUGUCCUAUUAGGAUCUAAGUGAGUCAUGUCAUUUGGAUGUAUGUUCUAUUAGGUGCCCCAACAAAUCCGCUUUGGUGUCAUCAUGAAAGUAACUUUUCUGUCCAUCAUGAUGGUUAGCAGGCAAGAAAGAUAACGAUAUGACUCAUCGCUCACCAUUUGCGUUUGUUUCGUGAGGAUUGAAUCUUUUAUCUAGGUAUGUUUCUCACGUUUACUAAGCUAUUAUUUCACUACUGCAUGCCACGUUGAACUUUAAGGUCGCGCGGCCUCAUGCAUCUUGAAUUAUCAAAUUUCAACAGGAAUGACAAAAUUAUAGUACGACAGGUGCAUUUUAUUGUUUCGUUGAUGCGGUAGUGAAGAAUUUCUUGUAGGAAGAAUUAAGUUAGCGCUGAAGCCUAAAAUCACCAUUCGAGAUAUUUACGAGAGAUCACCAUUAUAAUUUUGCUGAAACAUGAGGUUUAUUAUCCAUUUUGUUUGCAGUGAGACUAUCUACUUUCAAUGCUAGAAUAAACUACUCAAAGCAACGAGUUUGUCAGCAAGAACAACCUCAAUGUCUUGGAGCAUUCCUUAAGUACGACAUCUCAUAAUUUUGAAUUUGGAAGAAGGGUGCAUUUUCUUUAUAGUCACUCUACAGUGAUAGAAUAAACCAAAGAACAUCACAAAUCCGUCUGUCCAGUUUUCACCCCCAUUGUUGCCGCUGCAUGUUUUGCUUCUGUACAGAAAUAAUUAUGCCUACGUUGUUGUUCCAUGAUGCAAAUUGAGCGAGAGCUCAACUCAAGAAUUUAUUAUACACUUCCUUUUUUCAAGAAUGAUGGACAACUAGAUGAUUUUCAAUUAUAAUUAAUAUCUAUAUAUGAAACUUGUUAAUGUACCAAAGUUUAAAAUUUUGAAAACCCGUCUUGAUGUCGCUUGACACAACAUAGUUGCAUUAAGUUACGUGUUUGCAUGACAUUGGCUUGUCAUAUUCACAAUGAUGUUGCAUAUGCGGCCUUUGAUAUACGCUUGUUUUAGUAGUGGAUGGAGAAUCAAAGUUGAUUGCUGCAUCUUUACGUGGUCUGUAUGGUAUACGAUUUUGUUGUGGUGGAUUUAGUAUUUGUCAUAUGUUUUUUGUGUUUGUUCUUAUUGGAAUAAAAUGAUGGACAUCCUUUAUACACUCCAUUUAUAUCUAAAAUACGAAGUAGCUUCGAAUCAAAUUUAAGCGCACAGAAAAAUUGUGGAGUACCAAUCAUGGUAAUUAGCUACGACAAUGCACUAGGAUAUAUCCUUAUAGAGGCAAGCUAUUUAAAUAUGAAAGAUAAUUUUAUUUCUAUUUAUAUCACCUCAAGUUUCACAUGUCACAUACGAUGAUACCUGAGCUUAUAUUUUCACUUCCGAACUACAAUAUUGUGAAAAUUCAGUACAAGACACCGCCAAGGGUGGUAAUGCUAUCGGGUGCACUAUAGGACCAAGGGUAGAUACCAUAUGUAGAUGGCAAGUUAAAAGCCAACAGUGCUUGAGCUUGAGCCAGAUUCCGGUCAAUGUAGAGAUUGCCAAACUGCUGGAGGUGUAGCUGGUGCGCUAUGGCCUGGACAACGUUAAUGUCCUGGUAGUGAGAUUGUUGCGCCACCAGCCUGAGCUGUUGCAAGACUUGGUUGUUUCUCAGUUGAAACGCAGCUGAUUGCAAGAAGGUGCUUGCCGCAAUGCUAUACUGCUGCCUUACGAACUCAUUAUAUGGGCUAAGCACCUGUUGCUGUAGCAGGAGAGGCGACUGCACCUGAUAUUGCCUAAUAUUUUGACCUAAAACAUCAAACUGCGCAGUGGCGCUGCAUGCAGCAAUAGCAAGGAGAGCAAAGACGAAAAUGAUCUUCAUUGUUGCAGGACACUAGUUCUUUUAAAUUUUUGUUGUAUAAUGCUUGAAUUGUGCGAGCGAUGAGGAGGGUUUUCAUGGAGUUUGUCCAUUUAUAGAUGCGCUGGCACGGAUUUUCUUUCGAUUCCUCAUCGGUUGCUUUAGUGUGUUAGUUUUGCUUGGAUGUCCUAUUAGGAUCUAGGUGAGUCAUGUCAUUUGGAUGUAUGUUCUAUUAGGUGCCCCAACAAAUCCGCUUUGGUGUCAUCAUGAAAGUAACUUUUCUGUCCAUCAUGAUGGUUAGCAGGCAAGAAAGAUAACGAUAUGACUCAUCGCUCACCUUAUGCGUUUGUUUCGUGAGGAUUGAAUCUUUUAUCUAGGGAUGUUUAUCACGUUUACUAAGCUAUUUUUUCACUACUGCAUGCCACGUUGAACUUUAAGGUCGCGCGGCCUCAUGCAUCUUGAAUUAUAAAAUUUCAACAGGAAUGACAAAAUUAUAGUACGGCAGGUGCAUUUUAUUGUUUCGUUGAUGCGGUAGUGAAGAUUUGAUUGUAGGAAGAAUUAAGUUAGCGCUGAAGCCUAAAAUCACCAUUCGAGAUAUUUACGAGAGAUCACCAAUAUAAUUUUGCUGAAACAUGAGGUUUAUUAUCCAUUUUGUUUGCAGUGAGACUAUCUACUUUCAAUGCUAGAAUAAACUACUCAAAGCAAAGAGUUUGUCAGCAAGAACAACCUCAAUGUCUUGGAGCAUUCCUUAAGUACGACAUCUCAUAAUUUUGAAUUUGGAAGAAGGGUGCAUUUUCUUUAUAGUCACUCUACAGUGACAGAAUAAACCAAAGAACAUCACAAAUCCGUCUUUCCGGUUUUCACCCCCAUUGUUGGCGCUGCAUGUUUUGCUUCUGUACAGAAAUAAUUAUGCCUACGUUGUUGUUCCAUGAUGCAAAUUGAGCGAGAGCUCAACUCAAGAAUUUAUUAUACACUUCCUUUUGUCAAGAAUGUUGGACAACUAGAUGAUUUUCAAUUGAAAUUAAUAUCUAUAUAUGAAACUAGUUAAUGUACCAAAGUUUAAAAUUUUGAAAACCCGUCUUGAUGUCGCUUGACACAACAUAGUUGCAUUAAGUUACGUGUUUGCAUGACAUUGGCUUGUCAUAUUCACAAUGAUGUUGCAUAUGCGGCCUUUGAUAUACGCUUGUUUUAGUAGUGGAUGGAGAAUCAAAGUUGAUUGCUGCAUCUUUACGUGGUCUGUAUGGUAUACGAUUUUGUUGUGGUGGAUUUAGUAUUUGUCAUAUGUUUUUUGUGUUUGUUCUUAUUGGAAUAAAAUGAUGGACAUCCUUUAUACACUCCAUUUAUAUCUAAAAUACGAAGUAGCUUCGAAUCAAAUUUAAGCGCACAGAAAAAUUGUGGAGUACCAAUCAUGGUAAUUAGCUACGACAAUGCACUAGGAUAUAUCCUUAUAGAGGCAAGCUAUUUAAAUAUGAAAGAUAAUUUUAUUUCUAUUUAUAUCACCUUAAGUUUCACAUGUCACAUACGAUGAUACCUGAGCUUAUAUUUUCACUUCCGAACUACAAUAUUGUGAAAAUUCAGUACAAGACACCGCCAAGGGUGGUAAUACUACCCGGUGCACUAUAGUACCUAGGGUAGAUACCAUAUGUAGAUGGCAAGUUAAAAGCCAACAGUGCUUGCGCUUGAGCCAGAUUCCGGUCAAUGUAGAGAUCGCCAAACUGCUGGAGGUGUAGCUGCUGCGCUAUGGCCUGGACAACGUUAAUGUCCUGGUAGUGAGAUUGUUGCGCCACCAGCCUGAGCUGUUGCAAGACUUGGUUGUUUCUCAGUUGAAACACAGCUGAUUGCAAGAAGGGGCUUGCCGCAAUGCUAUACUGCUGCCUUACGAACUCAUUAUAUAGGCUAAGCACCUGUUGCUGUAGCAGGAGAGGCGACUGCACCUGAUAUUGCCUAAUAUUUUGACCUAAAACAUCAAACUGCGCUGUGGCGCUGCAUGCAGCAAUAGCAAGGAGAGCAAAGACGAAAAUGAUCUUCAUUGUUGCAGGACACUAGUUCUUUUAAAUUUUUGUUGUAUAAUGCUUGAAUUGUGCGAGCGAUGAGGAGGGUUUUCAUGGAGUUUGUCCAUUUAUAGAUGCGCUGGCACGGAUUUUCUUUCGAUUCCUCAUCGGUUGCUUUAGUGUGUUAGUUUUGCUUGGAUGUCCUAUUAGGAUCUAAGUGAGUCAUGUCAUUUGGUUGUAUGUUCUAUUAGGUGCCCCAACAAAUCCGCUUUGGUGUCAUCAUGAAAGUAACUUUUCUGUCCAUCAUGAUGGUUAGCAGGCAAGAAAGAUAACGAUAUGACUCAUCGCUCACCUUAUGCGUUUGUUUCGUGAGGAUUGAAUCUGUUAUCUAGGUAUGUUUAUCAUGUUUACCAAGCUAUUAUUUCACUACUGCAUGCCACGUUGAACUUUAAGGUCGUGCGGCCUCAUGCAUCUUGAAUUAUAAAAUUUCAACAGGAAUGACAAAAUUAUAGUACGGCAGGUGCAUUGUAUUGUUUCUUUGAUGUGGUAAUGAAGAUUUGAUUGUAGGAAGAAUUAAGUUAGCACUGAAGUCUAAUAUCACCAUUCGAGAUAUUUACGAGAGAUCACCAUUAUAAUUUUGCUGAAACAUGAGGUUUAUUAUCCAUUUUGUUUACAGUGAGACUAUCUACUUUCAAUGCUAGAAUAAACUACUCAAAGCAACGAGUUUGUCAGCAAGAACAACCUCAAUGUCUUGGAGCAUUCCUUAAGUACGACAUCACAUAAUUUUGAAUUUGGAAGAAGGGUGUAUUUUCUUUAUAGUCACUCUACAGUGACAGAAUAAACCAAAAGAACAUCACAAAUCUGUCUUUUCGGUUUUCACCCCCAUUGUUGCCGCUGCAUGUUUUGCUUCUGUACAGAAAUAAUUAUGCCUACGUUGUUGUUCCAUGAUGCAAAUUGAGCGAGAGCUCAACUCAAGAAUUUAUUAUACACUUCCUUUUGUCAAGAAUGAUGGACAACUAGAUGAUUUUCAAUUCAAAUUAAUAUCUAUAUAUGAAACUUGUUAAUGUACCAAUGUUUAAAAUUUUGAAAACCCGUUUUGAUGUCGCUUGAAACAACAUAGUUGCAUGAAGUGAUGUGUUUGCAUGACAUUGGCUUGUCAUAUUCACAAUGAUGCUGCAUAUGCGGCCUUUGAUAUACGCUUGUUUUAGUAGUGGGACUAAAUUCAAUGGGACUAAAUUCUUUUAUUCCCUUCUAUAUUAAAUAAUCAAGAUGAGGCAGCAGUGCAAAAUUGAGCCGAAUUUUAGGAAAAUAGGGUUCACCAAGUCGAGUUCACACCGCGUUUCUCUUGCGCAAACUCCACUUGCUGGGGGGCAUUUGUUUGACGGUAUUUUGUGAUCUUAUAAAUCCAAGGAUUAUUUGUAUUAUCAAGACAAGCAAACAAAAGAGCAGCUAUGAUCGUCGCAUUCAUUAAUAUGUGACUCUGUAUAUAGCUUGCUCAAUUGCAUGGGAUGCAUGAGCCAUGCACGUACUGGCAUAUGUAUGUCCUCCUAUAUGGCUAUACAUGGGUACAUGUGUUCAGCCAUAUAUACAUGCUUAGCUAAUCUAUACGUAAGCAUGCAUGCACAAGGAGACCUAAGUGACAUGUGAGCAGCUCAUAAACGAGCGCUCGUGACUAUAUAUGUAUUCACCGUACGUGCAUGUAUACGUACAGAAAUACCGGGUGGUUUCUAUGAGUUAAGAAGCAACAUCUAGCUACACGGUUGAAAUGUGAAGCUGCACGUGGGCCGGCAGCCCAUAGACACAUUGCGUUUUCAUCGUAUAUAUGCGAUUGUAUCAGAAUACAUGCGUACGCGGGAUUUCUCAACUGCAAGCUACUGAUGUGCGCGGCUAGCGCCGGAUAAACCCAACCAACAAACUUCGUCUUAUCCAGGUGAUUCGAAUUAGCGUGAUCUGCAGCAACGUCGCCCGGAGGUAUCGGAACAAACACGUGCAGCCACGUCGGCGCCGGAGUAUGCGCGCCCGUCCGUUAGGUUUUCCCAGCGCUUAUAAAAGCCAACGAGAGCUAACCAGCCAGGGCAUGGAGAAUCAUUCAUAAAACACACAUCCAUCCAUCCACACAUAUGUAGAACAAGAACACAAAGCAGAAGGGCACGCCAACGCGUGCGCUGACGGCCGGCGGCAGCCAACAGGCGCUCUGCCAAGAGACGGCGCCAGGCGAUCGACAUUCGUCCAGCCAUCCCUCUGCCCGGUGAGAAGACACGGCGCGCCAGCCGGCGGCUGUGGGCAGAAUGAGGAGGAGAGAAGCAGUACACGGACAUGGUCUCAUCUACACCAGCACACCGGCGGCGAGUACAGCUCCGUCCUUUUCUUUGUUUCUCUUUCGUUUUGCAGAUUGAUCAUGGAGGAGGAACAUGGAUGUAGAACCACAAGAAGAGAUCGAUCCAUCCACUCAUACAUAGAUCACAUGAGGGAACACACAGAGGCCUCGGCGGAAGGGUACGCCGGCGAGGGUACAGGCAGCCACCCAAUAGACGGCGCUAGGCGAUCGACAUCCAUGCAUCGAGAUCCAUCCGACUCCCAUCAAGAUUCAUCCACAGCUACUUCGCCGGAGCAGGAGAGCACGCCGCCGGUAGCGCUCGGCGCCGGUGUCCAGCAGAAGGACGUUGGAGGAAGGAGAGCAACCUGAACUUGGCCAAUCAACAAGCACGAGAAUUAGAUCAAUGGCUGCCCAAGGUAAAGGCUAACCAAAUAUCGUUCCUUUCCUGUUUUAUCUGCAGCACACAUGCAUGCAUGAGGAUAUUUCUACACACGGCGGGUCAGUGCGUGGUGCAUCGUCGUCGCUAGAGUUGUUGAGCCGACCCAUCUAUGGGCGCCACCUAUAAGCUUCGUCACGUCGGAGUUGAUGACAUGCCGUUCGUCCGCGAUACCUUCGCCUUCAUCACACGGCAGUCGCAGACGCCGUCGAGCCACCCACGUCCACAACUAGGCUGCUGCCUCACCAGAAAUGCUGUUUCGGGCACUAUUCACGCCAUCCCGCGAAGAUCGCGAGAGCUGCCAUGGGCGUUUGCCAAGGCGCUGCCGGCCGAGCGGUGGUCAUCCUCGCCAACUGAUCACCACCUGCCGAAGAUGGUCAUCCCCACGUCGCACUGAUGGAGCGUUGGGAAUAGUCGGAGCAGCCGCGGGCAUCAUCAAGCCAUCCCUAAUCCGCCAGGAGGUCUUGUCAGAUCCAAGGCGAAUGCCAUCAUGCUGCCCGCAUCCAUGAAUGUCGCCGAGUCGCCGAGGCGCUGCCAAGCAGUGCUUGUACCCGCCAAUCGAUCAUCUAUCGGGGAAAGCCGUCGUCCUCUCGCCGCCCUGCCGGAGCGCGCCGAAGAUUGCCGGAGCCACCGCCGAUUGCCAUGAUUUCUCCUGCUUCUAUGUCGGAGGUCAAGCAUCAUGCAUGGCGUCGACAACUAUGGCUGCAGCAACUGAGAGUGAGGGCGACAGCGACAGGAUGACGACGAACCGAUGCUGUUGAACGCCAUGGCAACAAGCUAGCAAAUGCACGCUAAUUAAGCUAAUUAUUGUGGCAACGUGGCCGACCAACUGGAGGGUGACACAUCAUCACCAUGCUUCAGUGCUAUGCACAAGAAGAAGUCGUCAACGCGAUGGCUAAACAAAUCCUGUUGAUUUCAAGCUUUCUCAAUUAGAUACCGAGCUGUGAUUAAAUCCGGCUGCCGUCUAUAUCGUCCAACUCGUCGGCGACACUCUAACGCUCGCCAUCCCUGCUCAAGCUACCGGUGAUGCCGUCUACCGGAUGCCGCCACGUCGUCGAGAUACACCAACGCCCCCAUCUCGCCAACUGCGGCUUCUCUUCCGUAAUGUGCGCCGUACCCUCGCCGGCGAUCGUCGGAGCAGCCACUAGUGUCGCCCGAGCUGUUUCUGAUCCAGGAGAUGGUGGCAGUCGCCGGGAUGCUCCUCGAGGAGCCGUCGACACAUGCCACCCUGCUGGGACACACUGAAGGUCCCCAGAGCAGCCGCGGACACCGUCGAGGUGCUCGUACACCGUCGUCAAGUCCAGCUGUGAUUCUUUCACUUCAUCACGGCGGAGUUGUCAUGUCGACUGAUCUGUUGGCGCUGAUCGCAAGCCUCCGUCAAGAUCGAUGCCACUCGUCCUCAGGACUGAUGCAAUCUGUUCGAGCUGCGGUGAUGAUUCUACUCGUUGCGAUCUCGCCGAGACGUUAAACGUCGUCGCCUUUUGCCGACCGCUGCCUCGCAACACCGUCAAUAUCUACCCACCCUCGCCACCGUUGCAAUCUUGGUGCCCACAAGCCGUCGUCAAGUCUGGCUGUGCUUCCUUCUCUUCAUCAGGCCGAGGUCGUCGUGCUGUCUGUCCACGAUGCCUUCUCUUUGUCACGUCGGAGCGUCAAAGUUCAGUGCCCCUACAUCAUCGUUGAGCCGUUCGUGAUGCCGUCUGGCCAUCCCUUCGUCACGUCGGAGCGCCACUGCUUGGUUCCCGUGCAUCGUCAUCAAGCUGAGGUCGUCGUUUCGUCCAUCCACAAUGUCUUUCUCUCCGCCGCGCCAAGGCUACGAGAUGCCAUCCGGCCGCGAUGCCCUUCACCUCGUCAAGUUGGAGUCGUCGUUCUGUCAUCACGCCAAGAUGAGAUACCGCCUGUCCGUGAUGCUCUCCCUCUUCGUGGAGAUUAAUGGUGUCGCACAUCCGCGUAUUGGAGCAUCGCUCAUCUACGUCAACCUGAAGAAAGAAUGGUGUCAUCUGUGAUGCCAGGAAACCAUUCGUGCUGAAUCUACUCCAACAAAUGCCCUUAGCCGUUCCGCCGACGAGGCAUUUACUUCUUCCAAGGUCGCUGUCAUUACCGGCGCCCUCAUAGAGCCCCUUUUACGGGCUCGUUAUCAUAUCAACUGGAUCAAUAGUAGAUCCAUCAUCUGAAGGAGGUGCUAAGCCAUGUUUGUCCGGCUGUCGUCUACACUGAUUUCUUCAUCAUCUUCAUUACAAGUCCCUGUUGUAUAAAGGGCAUGACAAGUUGGGAGGUGCCUAACCAUGUGUAAUUCGGCUGUCGUCUACACCAACUAUCUUCGUCAACUCUUCAUUACUUUGAUCUCAUCUAGCCAGAAGGUGCCCAACCAUGUAUAUUCGGCUAUUGUGUACACCAACUGACUUCACCAGCUCCUCUUCCCUUUAACACCAUUCUGAUGCCGUUGCUAUGACUUCUCUACCGUCCAAGCUACGCGAGUUCCAUGCAUGCUGAAGAUCACUAUAUCUACACCACCACGUCACUCAAGACAGAUGAGGCGGAGCGACGAGGGCAGGCGGAGUAUAAAUAAAGGCUAUGUCUCCAACACCGGCGCACGGACCGACGAGGCCGUGGAUCGCUGUCGGCGCCCACACACACAUCCACCAUCUUCACCAACAUUCAUCAUGCAUGGAGAACGUAAAGCGAAGACGACGAGACGACCACAAGCAGCUUAAUCGGAGGUUCUCCUGUAGGCCUAUACCUACAGGUAAUUAACUGGGAGCUUCUUGAGGCCCUAGGAACCAGAAGACCACAUCGCUGAUGUCAGAUCUGUCCAACGACAGGCAAAGGCACGCACAUUUUAUAUUAUACAUAGAAACUGUAUCUUGUUAAUUCAAUUAAUAAAGAUCACGUUUUUGUGUCUCUUUUGUGUUUGAUUUACAUUUUGUAUCUAGGUACACUGGCACGCCCGCACUAAUUUUCUUUCUAAACAUAGAGGGAUAUAUAUUCGUAUUUUUUCUAUCCUAAACAAUCACCAUUCGAGAUAUUUACGAGAGAUCACCAUUAUAAUUUUGCUGAAACAUGAGGUUUAUUAUCCAUUUGGUUUACAGUGAGACUAUCUACUUUCAAUGCUAGAAUAAACUACUCAAAGCAACGAGUUUGUCAACAAGAACAACCUCAAUGUCUUGGAGCAUUCCUUAAGUACGACAUCUCAUAAUUUUUAAUUUGGAAGAAGCGUGCAUUUUCUUUAUAGUCACUCUACAGUGACUGAAUAAACUAAAGAACAUCACAAAUCCGUCUUUCCUAUUUUUACCCCUAUUGUUGCCGCUGCAUGUUUUGCUUCUGUACAGAAAUAAUUAUGCCUACGUUGUUGUUCCAUGAUGCAAAUUGAGCGAGAGCUCAACUCAAGAAUUUAUUAUACACUUCCUUUUGUCAAGAAUGAUGGACAACUAGAUGAUUUUCAAUUGAAAUUAAUAUCUAUAUAUGAAACUAGUUAAUGUACCAAAGUUUAAAAUUUUGAAAACCCGUCUUGAUGUCGCUUGACACAACAUAGUUGCAUGAAGUUACGUGUUUGCAUGACAUUGGCUUGUCAUAUUCACAAUGAUGCUGCAUAUGCGGCCUUUGAUAUACGCUUGUUUUAGUAGUGGAUGGAGAAUCAAAGUUGAUUGCUGCAUCUUUACGUGGUCUGUAUGGUAUACGAUUUUGUUGUGGUGGAUUUAGUAUUUGUCAUAUGUUUUUUGUGUUUGUUCUUAUUGGAAUAAAAUGAUGGACAUCCUUUAUACACUCCAUUUAUAUCUAAAAUACAAAGUAGCUUCGAAUCAAAUUUAAGCGCACAGAAAAAUUGUGGAGUACCAAUCAUGGUAAUUAGCUACGACAAUGCACUAGGAUAUAUCCUUAUAGAGGCAAGCUAUUUAAAUAUGAAAGAUAAUUUUAUUUCUAUUUAUAUCACCUUAAGUUUCACAUGUCACAUACGAUGAUACCUGAGCUUAUAUUUUCACUUCCGAACUACAAUAUUGUGAAAAUUCAGUACAAGACACCGCCAAGGGUGGUAAUGCUACCGGGUGCACUAUAGUACCUAGGGUAGAUACCAUAUGUAGAUGGCAAGUUAAAAGCCAACAGUGCUUGAGCUUGAGCCAGAUUCCGGUCAAUGUAGAGAUCGCCAAACUGCUGUAGGUGUAGCUGCUGCGCUAUGGCCUGGACAACGUUAAUGUCCUGGUAGUGAGAUUGUUGCGCCACCAGCCUGAGCUGUUGCAAGACUUGGUUGUUUCUCACUUGAAACACAGCUGAUUGCAAGAAGGGGCUUGCCGCAAUGCUAUACUGCUGCCUUACGAACUCAUUAUAUAGGCUAAGCACCUGUUGCUGUAGCAGGAGAGGCGACUGCACCUGAUAUUGCCUAAUAUUUUGACCUAAAACAUCAAACUGCGCAGUGGCGCUGCAUGCAGCAAUAGCAAGGAGAGCAAAGACGAAAAUGAUCUUCAUUGUUGCAGGACACUAGUUCUUUUAAAUUUUUGUUGUAUAAUGCUUGAAUUGUGCGAGCGAUAAGGAGGGUUUUCAUGGAG
rnacentral:lncRNA from 1 species